UACGAGGGGGGCGAGCGUUGUUCGGAAUUAUUGGGCGUAAAGGGUGCGUAGGCGGUUUGGUAAGUCUUAGGUGAAAUCUACAGGCUCAACUUGUAGUCUGCAUGAGAAACUGCCGGGCUUGAGUAUGGGAGAGGUGAGUGGAAUUCCUGGUGUAGCGGUGAAAUGCGUAGAUAUCAGGAGGAACACCUGUGGCGAAAGCGGCUCACUGGACCAUAACUGACGCUGAUGCACGAAAGCUAGGGGAGCAAACAGG
rnacentral:rRNA from 1 species